ensembl:lincRNA
GAAUAGGACGCGCAGCUUAUUUUUCAGUGAUUAAAAAACCAGAUAGUUAGAUGCAUAAUACAAGCAGACAAAUAGUGACAGGAGAAAGGGAGAGAAGGAGAAAGGGAGAAAAGAAAGGAAUAGAACUUGCAACUGAAAAGAUUAGGAGAGAACGAUAGGUUAACAGUAGGUGACAUUUUUGCAGCUUUCCAGAAUGCUUGAAAUUAUCUCCAUCUUCAAGGUACACACACACACAGAAGAGGAAGAUUCUAGUCAGGCCAUGAAUGGAGAGGAAACAGAGUUAAGGUAGACAAGUAGGGAAGAAAGCAUUUCGGAUGUGGGGAUUGACUGAACAAACUACUGAGGUCAGAAUGAGUUUGACUUGCAUGGAGAUUGCCCAGUACAAGUCUGAUGGAACAGCUUUGUGAGAUGCAGAGGAGGAGGAGAGUUCUUCCUAUGCUGGGGAGACAAACUGAACGCUGCCCACAGGGAAGGCAGAAAGAGCACCAGUGCCACCACCUGGAUACAGGGAGAAUGAGGCACCGCUUGAAAAGGAAGGCACUGUGUGUCCAAGAGGGAACAGGUGAUUGUGCUUGCUUUUGUGCCCUUAUCGUUCCCUUGUCACAGUUUCUUUGCCUUUCCCUUUUUCCAUUUCUUCCCACCUUCCCUACUCAUAUAUGUUAAUCUCUGUUUUGCCUGCUGUCCUGUUUAGGAAGUGGUCCGGAGAAUGGUGUAGAGCCCUCCUGAAGUAAGACAGGAGGGAGACCAGAAUUAAGACUCUCAAAAUACAGGAAAAGCUUCUUGUAAGUUUGCCUCAGGCUGCCUGAGGUCUAAUUAAGCUCUAUCAGAUCCUUAGCCCUGAAACCAAGGGGACAGCGUCAGCAAAUUUGUUAUCCUAUGAGGAAAGAAAAGCAAUGUGCCUUACAGUCCUCAUCUGCCUUGUGACAUUAGAGCUUUGUAGUGCUCCAUGAUACAUAGCUCUAUUUUAUGUGAUAUGAUCUGGGGAUUACUCUAACCAGGAAUUCAGGGCAGUUGACUACAAAUGUUUUACAAAUGACUACAAAUAGGCAGAGACUAAAUGCAAUGAAACGAAACCAAACCAAACCUCUACAGUAGACCUUUUUAUCUUCUACAGAGAUUUUCUUCUCUAUACUAAGUUCUAAAGAUCUCUACCUUUGGCAGACAGUUAUCCAGGCAAUUACAGGAGUCAGGCACUCUUCUUGGUACCAGUGUAGGAAAAGAGAGAAGUAAACAGCUUAGUGUUCUAAAUAAGGUUAAUUUUUAUUCUUGGAAUUUAGAUAACCAUUUCUGAUGUUAUUCACUUCAGGAAUCAUUUUUGGUAAUCUACUUCUAGUCUCCAUCUCUCCUAAGGAUUCCCUGGGGAUAAGCUAUGGGCCAUGCAUUGUGAUGGAAGGACCCUGGAACAGUUUUCUUGGGGAAGUAUCAUCCAUCAAUUAAAGGAGUUUGACUUCUGUUUUCUGCUCUAAUAUUCUUCAGUUUGUUGAUUUUAAAGGAAAUUUUUAGAAGACUUCAUGGGAUUAGAUAUAGAUAAUUAUGCCAGGUAGAAUCAGUCAUAAUGACUGAGCUAUCCAACAAAAAUUGUGAGAUUGGUUCAAUGACUUAGUCUUUGACAAACAGGAGAAAUCUACUUUUAACUUCAGUCAACCUACAUAGGUCCUGUACUUGUUUAUUGUGUAUGUUUUUGCUCAGAGUUUAAAAAUUUCCAUACUGGGAUAAGUGCUGGUUUCUGUUUGGUUGAAAAUUUAAAAAAUGAAUUUAGUUGAAUCUUGUCUGGAGGAAUUACAAUAAAAUCUGAAAUUUGCUACCCUAUAACAUAUUUUAAAGCUCAAAUUAUAAAAAUUAAAUAGAUGAAAUCUGAAUACUUUUAUUUUGAUUUAAGCUUCCUCAUUUUAACUACUCAUAAACUUACUGCAAAGCUUGGCAUGUAGUAGACAUUCAAUAAAC